UUUUUGUUGUUAAUCCUCACUCCAGGAUAUUUUUCAAUUGAUUUUUAUGGAAAGUGGAAGAGAGAGGGAAAGACAGAGAAAUAUAUCGAUGUGAGAGAAAUACACUGAUUUGUUACUUCCUGCAUGCAUCCCAAUCAGGGCCCAGGUUGGGGAGGAUCCUGCAACCAAGGGACAUGCCUUUGACCAGAAUCGAACCCAGGACUCU